ensembl:lncRNA
GUUACAUAAAGCACCAUUACUUUUUGGAUUACUUUUGGAUGUGGCUCAUGUUUAUAACAGUAAUCUUGGGGGGUAGACUCAUUUAAAAUAAUGUAAUCAUCUUGUUUUAGCCAGGUUUCUGUCAAACAGAGCACAUCUAGGUUUUGAUCCAUGAUCAUAUCAUUUACAAAAAGCACAUUCAUAGAAAGGGAUCUAAUAUUCAUUAAGCCAAGCUUUAUCAUGUGUUUAUCUGUAUUAUAUCUGUUUUUCAUUUGUUGAACAUCAGUUAAAUUGAUAACCUUAAAUUGGUUUGGACAUGUUUUGUAUUUGCUAGUUCAGGGAACAGACACAGUCUCUAUAGUAUGAUAUCUAGGUGUAGGAGUCUUUAUGUGCUGUGAAUUAACUGAUUUCUGUGACAUGAGGUGGCUAGCAGACGGUCGGUUUAGACAAUUUGUCUGCUUCCUGUCCUGAUCCCCAAUUAAUCAAGUCAGGUCAGCCCCAAAAUAUGUUAUUCUGCGGGCGCCACUUAGACAGUCAGCCAAUGAGUGACGACAGUCUGCUGUGUAUGUAUCUCAUCACCACGCUAAAUUUAAAAAGUCUACUUCCAAAUGCUACUGACGCUCAUCAGCGGCAGCUGUCACAGUUGCUAGGCAGCAAGACCAGUCCUCCAUAGGCUGCUAGACUGGUCUGAGUCCUUCGGAUACAGCUGAAGUUAUCAACUAUUUGUUAAUAUUCUAGCAAUAAACUUUUCAUUUGC